CUAUGGUUGCAGUGCAUGUAAAGUGCCGCUCUGGCCCUGCCUACUUCCUCUUUGUGUCGGGCUGAGCUGCAGGACGGUCUAAAGGCUGAUCUAGUGCUAAUCAUUGUGUUGUGAUCUGCAAGAUGCAUCUUCAAUUACCUGAUGCUUGUGUAAUUGGUAUUAAAGCCAGCACAGUCCCAAAUAGAUGUGGAAGGUGCUUUGUUUCAGUAUAUGUGGACAACUCUGGAUGAAGUCAUGUCUUGGCUGUAGUAUGCUCCUGUGUUGGUAUGAGGCCUCAGAUGUUUUCACUGAGAGAUGGCAUGCAUUGUAGGGAAAUACCCUAACCUGCUUAUAACUCUGGCUGUGGCAGUUAUCCUGUGAGAGUAUUGGAGCAAUAUGGGAUUUACCUACUGGUGAGAAUCUGGCAAAUGAAGAUGUGACUGAAAUGUGUGCUCCUGCCAGCCGCUUCAGAUGCAAACCAGUGUCUCCUUGGAGAGGAGGGUGGCAGUAGCCACAGGAAGUGUCUAUUGGAGGAUGUGUUCUACGUGGCAGCUGCAUACAUCUGUAUGGCAAUAUGAAGAGAAACCCUUAGAAAUACCAUUUCCCCACUAACUACUUCUGACCUAUUUGAAGCAGUAACCUGUAUUUGUAAUGUGAUUGAAAAGUUAUUUAAGAAAAUCCACCCGUUGAUAAAAUUCAUUAAACAUUACUUCAAAGCUU